rnacentral:rRNA from 1 species
GACGAACGCUGGCGGCGUGCUUAACACAUGCAAGUCGAACGGAAAGGCCCUGCUUUUGUGGGGUGCUCGAGUGGCGAACGGGUGAGUAACACGUGAGUAACCUGCCCCUGACUUUGGGAUAACUUCAGGAAACUGGGGCUAAUACCGGAUAGGAGCUCCUGCUGCAUGGUGGGGGUUGGAAAGUUUCGGCGGUUGGGGAUGGACUCGCGGCUUAUCAGCUUGUUGGUGGGGUAGUGGCUUACCAAGGCUUUGACGGGUAGCCGGCCUGAGAGGGUGACCGGCCACAUUGGGACUGAGAUACGGCCCAGACUCCUACGGGACGCAGCGGUGGGGAGUAUUACAGAAUGGGCGGAAGCCUGAUGCAGCAACGCCGCGUGCGGGAUGACGGCCUUCGGGUUGUAAACCACUUUCGUCUUUGACGAAGCGUGAGUGACGGUAAUGGGUAAAGAAGCACCGGCUAACUACGUG